rnacentral:rRNA from 1 species
AGAUUGAACGCUGGCGGCAUGCCUUACACAUGCAAGUCGAACGGCAGCACGGGAGCAAUCCUGGUGGCGAGUGGCGAACGGGUGAGUAAUACAUCGGAACGUGCCCAGUAGUGGGGGAUAACCCGGCGAAAGCCGGACUAAUACCGCAUACGACCUACGGGUGAAAGCGGGGGAUCGCAAGACCUCGCGCUAUUGGAGCGGCCGAUGUCAGAUUAGCUUGUUGGUGGGGUAAAAGCCUACCAAGGCGACGAUCUGUAGCUGGUCUGAGAGGAUGAUCAGCCACACUGGGGACUGAGACACGGCCCAGACUCCGUACGGGAGGCAGCAGUGGGGGAAUCUUGCACAA